AAGCAACAACGCCAAACGCAGGAGGCAGAUCAUGUUCGUCGAUACAGUGGUACUCGCAGGCAUCGGCACCGUGGGUCUUAUGGUCGCCUUCUUCGCCGGCGUUGGUUACUUCAUCUGGAAGGACUCCCACAAACGCAAGUCGCGUUGAGUCACUCCGGGUUUACAGGCACGCAAGGCACCUCGGGCGACUUCGGUCGCCCAUUUUUUUG
rnacentral:sRNA from 1 species